AAGCUGAUUUCCUUUUCAACUCUGUGCUCUAAGCUGCUAACAAGUCCAGAGAGGAAGCGCUGGCAGAAUAUCUACUACUAUUUUCUCACGAUCUGGUGCCAGUGGAAGGCCAACUAGCAUCUAUCCCACUCCUGGGAACCGAACAUCAGGCCAUGGUCCAUGGAGUGAUAAGGGCAUCUCUGAACUUUCAUUGUCAUUUCGCAACUCACAUUUGACAUCUUCUUUUAUUUCUUCUAUGCCCCUUGAAGGGCAUUUUCAGAGCUGGAGGGCUACACGGUAGAAAGGGUUUGCGGCUCAAGCUGCGGGGUCAAGUU
rnacentral:sRNA from 1 species